GGUGAAAUUCCAAUCGAACCCGGAGAUAGCUGGUUCUCCUCGAAAUAGCUUUAGGGCUAGCCUUGAAUUAGAUUAUGGGAGGUAGAGCACUGAAUAGGCUAGGGGGCUUCACCGCCUACCGAACCUUAUCAAACUACGAAUGCCGAUAAUUGAUGUUCAGGAGUCAGACUGUGGGGGAUAAGCUUCAUGGUCAAAAGGGAAACAGCCCAGACCGCCGGCUAAGGUCCCAAAGUGUGUGUUAAGUGGAAAAGGAUGUGAAAUCGCUCAGACAACCAGGAUGUUGGCUCAGAAGCAGCCACCAUUAAAAGAGUGCGUAAUAGCUCACUGGUCCAGGGGUUUUGCGCCGAAAAUGUAACGGGGCUCAAACACACCACCGAAGCCGCGGAAUGUUUUAGGACAUUGGUAGAGGAGCGUUCUUAAUGCGACGAAGGCGUACCGAGAGGAGCGUUGGAGCGUUAAGAAGUGAGAAUGCCGGUAUUAGUAUGCGAAAAGGCAGGUGAGAAUCCUGCCCGCCGAAAAUCUAAGGAUUCCUGGGGAAGGCUCGUCCGCCCAGGGUAAGUCGGGACCUAAGGCGAGGCCGAAAGGCGUAGUCGAUGGGAAACUGGUAGAUAUUCCAGUACCAGCGGAGGUCAAUUGAGUGAAGUAGUGAAGCAGAAGGAUAGGGAGAGCGCCCGGUUGGUGAGGCGUUUAAGUAAGUAGGGUGAUGUGCAGGCAAAUCCACACAUCGAGAGCCUGAGAUACGAAUACGAGUGAAAACUAGUAGCGAAGUCCCCGAUUCCCGGCUGCCAAGAAAAGCUGCUAACGAGACCGAAGGUGCCCGUACCGCAAACCGACACAGGUAGAUGGGGUGAGAAACCUAAGGCGCGCGAGAAAACUCUUGUUAAGGAACUCGGCAAAAUGAACCCGUAACUUCGGGAGAAGGGUUGCUCAUUAGUGUGAGUAUCCGUGCGAUACAGAGCACAGAUGAGUCGCAGAGAAAAGGUCCAGGCGACUGUUUAGCAAAAACACAGGUCAUUGCAAAACCGCAAGGUGAAGUAUAAUGGCUGACGCCUGCCCGGUGCUGGAAGGUUAAGGGGAAGAGUGAGAGCUUUGAACCGAAGCCCCAGUAAACGGCGGCCGUAACUAUAACGGUCCUAAGGUAGCGAAAUUCCUUGUCGGGUAAGUUCCG
rnacentral:rRNA from 1 species